rnacentral:rRNA from 1 species
GAUGAACGCUGGCGGCGUGCCUAACACAUGCAAGUCGAACGGAGAUUACGGACGGAAGUUUUCGGAUGGAAGACUGUAAUUCUUAGUGGCGGACGGGUGAGUAACGCGUGGGCAACCUGCCCUAUACAGGGGGAUAGCAGCUGGAAACGGCUGGUAAGACCGCAUAAGUCGGUUAAAUCGCAUGAUUUGAUCGGGAAAUGAGCAAUCAGGUAUAGGAUGGGCCCGCGUCCGAUUAGCCAGUUGGCAGGGUAAAAGCCUACCAAAGCGACGAUCGGUAGCCGGACUGAGAGGUCGGACGGCCACAUUGGGACUGAGACACGGCCCAAACUCCCACGGGAGGCAGCAGUGGGGGAUAUUGCACAAUGGAGGAAACUCUGAUGCAGCGACGCCGCGUGAGUGAAGAAGUAUUUCGGUAUGUAAAGCUCUAUCAGCAGGGAAGAUGAUGACGGUACCUGACUAAGAAGCCCCGGCUAACUACGUG